rnacentral:rRNA from 1 species
UACGUAGGGCGCAAGCGUUGUCCGGAAUUAUUGGGCGUAAAGAGCUCGUAGGCGGUUUGUCGCGUCGGCUGUGAAAUCCUGGGGCUUAACUCCGGGCCUGCAGUCGAUACGGGCAGACUUGAGUGUGGUAGGGGAGACUGGAAUUCCCGGUGUAGCGGUGAAAUGCGCAGAUAUCGGGAAGAACACCGGUGGCGAAGGCGGUUCUCUGGGCCUGUACUGACGCUGAGGAGCGAAAGCGUGGGGAGCGAACAGG